CCAGCAGAGCCUGUUUUAUAUUUUUGGUGUGUCUGCAGCUCAGACUGACUCUGCUUCAGGGAAGCUUGCAAUCUAACUAGCAGGGAGGGGUUGAAGAUGCUUGCUAUAAAUUUACUAGUAAUAUUUUGGCCUAAAGAAGGAUUUGAUAAACACACAUAAAGCCUUGCUGGGAACGCACUUCCUUGUUUUUGAUUUGAGUUAAAAUCUGUCUGCAGUGAGUGAGAAGCUGUG